GAUGAACGCUGGCGGCGUGCCUAAUACAUGCAAGUCGAGCGAACGGACGAGGAGCUUGCUCCUCUGACGUUAGCGGCGGACGGGUGAGUAACACGUGGAUAACCUACCUAUAAGACUGGGAUAACUUCGGGAAACCGGAGCUAAUACCGGAUAAUAUAUUGAACCGCAUGGUUCAAUAGUGAAAGACGGUUUUGCUGUCACUUAUAGAUGGAUCCGCGCUGCAUUAGCUAGUUGGUAAGGUAACGGCUUACCAAGGCAACGAUGCAUAGCCGACCUGAGAGGGUGAUCGGCCACACUGGAACUGAGACACGGUCCAGACUCCUACGGGAGGCAGCAGUAGGGAAUCUUCCGCAAUGGGCGAAAGCCUGACGGAGCAACGCCGCGUGAGUGAUGAAGGUCUUCGGAUCGUAAAACUCUGUUAUUAGGGAAGAACAAAUGUGUAAGUAACUGUGCACAUCUUGACGGUACCUAAUCAGAAAGCCACGGCUAACUACGUG
rnacentral:rRNA from 1 species